AUCAGGAAAAAACACAGAACUGCAUCUCCACUGCCACUGGCAGAGUUGGCGGGGUCUGGAGAUCCUGGUUCCAUGCGGUCCCCCCUUCCCUGACCUCUGGGAGUUACACUGACGUGCAGUGGAUGGUCAGAGAGGGAAAUAACAGCCUGGCUUGCUGUUUUCUGACCGUAGCUGGGCCACGGUAGGAUUAGGGCGGCUACAUGUAAGAGGACAGAAUGCUGACGAAGAUUGCAUUGUGUCUCCCCGAAUUCGCGUGCUGAAGCCCUAACCCCCAAUGCAACUGUGUUCAAGACAGAACUGUAAGGUAGAUGACGAAGGACAAGUGAGGUCGCAGGUGUGUGGCCUGUUAUGAUAGGACCGAUGGCUGACCUUUAAGAAGAGGAAGAGACACCAAGGGCUUGUGCACAAGAUAGAGGCCGCGCGAGGACAUAGCAAGAAGACAGCCUUUGCAAGCCAAGGAGAAAGGCCUCUGGAGAAGCCAGCCCUUGAUCUUGGACUUCCAAAAUACUGAGGAAACGGAAUCCUGUUUUUUAAGUCACCUGGUCUGGGUUAUUUUCUUACGGCCGCCCAAGCUAGUAUACAGUCUUUGUGUACUCCGCUGUCAGCGUCUCACCCGUUUCCCUGACAGUUCACGGAGAACUCAGUGGCUCGGGGACGGCAUCUGCAAGUCUUCCUGAGGCUGUGGCUGCAUUUCCUUCCGCAGAAUCUCUUUUGGCUUUCCAAGAGCAGCCAGGUGCUCUCCUGCUCCCUGCUUGCCCAUUGUGAGUCCUCCUCGCAGCUUUUUCACCUGCACAUUUGAUAUCCAUGUCUGCCCUAUCUUUAUUCAA